CCAGAUCAACCCAUGUGAGAAUAUAGUUUAAUAAAUAAUAUGUUCCUUAAGUUUGAAAGAAUUAAGGGAUAAGCUACUCAUUUAGGUUGAAAAACUAAUGGGUAAACCAUAAAAUUAAAUUACUAUUGCAAUUAGAAUUGUUCAUUGGGAAUUAAAAAUAGUUCACAACCCUAGCUGCUUAAGCAUCUUGGUAACCAUAACUCUAGUUUGACUUUUCUCAUUGAAUUACUUUUUACAAUACAACCAAAAGUUGGAUUACUUUCUUUGACAAAUAUUUGAAUAUAAUUGAUAAAUUAAAAUCCCCCUCUAUUCUUUAACCUUUGACCAACAGUUUAGUAACAUCUAUAAUAUUUAGUGAACACAGUAUUCCAUGUGGGAUUCGACACCCAACCCAGUUGGUUUCUAUAUUUGACAGUGACCACUUACACUCUCUGACGAGAGUUGUAAUUAGGGCGUAUUAAAUUUUGGCGUCAUUGCCAGGGAAUACGAUUGUCAAUUAAGUUUGUGCUUGUUAAUUGACCUUUGGUUAAGCUUCUCAAAUUUUACUUUUGUUUGUUUUUUUUGUUCGGUGUAGGAUAGUUAUUGUGUAUGCCAAGUACACGGAGAUAGAGGUAAAAGACUAAUCAAACCGUCUAGUAGCUGGUUCCCUUCGAAGUUUCCCUCAGGAUAGCUGGAGCUCAUAUGAGAGUUUUAUCGAGUAAAGCCAAUGAUUAGAGGCCUCAGGGCCGCAACUCCCUCAACUUAUUCUCAAACUUUAAAUAGGUAGGAUGGUGUGAUUGUUUUUUAUCUACACUACAGAAUCAAGAGCUCUAAGUGAGCAUUUUUGGUAAUAAAAAUCGACAAUAUGGGAUAAACCAGAAGCUGGGUUACUGUGUUAAACUGCGAGCUAACCUAGAUCCCACAAAGGGUGUUGGUCGAUUAAGGCAGCAGGACGGAGAUCUUGGAAGUCAAAAUCCGCUAAGGAUUGUGUAAAAACUCACCUGCUAAAUUAUCUAGGAUUGAAAAUAAAUGGAGUUUAAGUGCGCAACCUACACCCAGCCGUUGGGACAAGUACCAGGCCUCAAUGAGCAGAAGGGCAUAACUGUCGCUGCAAAACCUUGGGCGCGAGCCUGGGCAGAGAGAUCGUCGAUAUAGAUCAUGGUGAUAGUAGGAAAUAUUCAAAUGAGAACUUUGAAGGCCAAAGAGGAAAAAGGUUCCAUAUGAAUGAUACUUGCACAUGGGUUAGUCAAUUCUAAGGGUUGAGGUAACCCUAAUAAAUAGCGUAUUUAGUGCGUACUCCAAAAAAGAAUCAAGUUAAAAUUCCUGAACUGGGAUGUGGCGGUCGACGACAAUGUUAGGAUGUUCAGAGACAUCGGUGGGAGCCUCGAGAAGAGUCAUCUUUUCUUUUUAACAACCUACCCACUCUGGAAUCGGCUCAGCUGGAGGUAGGGUCCAGUAGCUGUAAGAGCAUUGCACAUCACAUGGUGUUUGGUGCAAUUUUGGUGGCCCUUAAAAAUUUGGAGGGCCGAAUGCCAUCCACGCUCAAUCGUAAUCAUAGCCACAUCAGGUCUCCAGGGUGAACAACCUCUGUUCGAUGGUAUAAUGUAGACAAGGGAAGUUGGCAAAAUAGAUCCGCAACUUUGGCAAAAGGAUUGGCUCUGAGGGCUGGGCAUAGGGGUCCUAGUCCUAAACCCAUUGGUUAUCGGUGGACUACCCGAGUUGUUCCUGAGGCAAGAACGGGUCAUCACGGGCCGUCUGGGGGACGGACUGGGAAUGGUUCCUUCUAGGGCCUUCCCCGUACGACGAACGAUCAACUCAGAACUGGUACAGACAAAGGGAAUCUGACUAUUUAAUUAAAAUAAUACAUUGUGAUAGUCCCUAUGAAUGUUCACGCAAUGUGAUUUCUGCCUAGUGCUCUGAAUGUCAAAGUAAAGAAUUUCCACAAAGCGCGGGUAAACGACGGGAGUAAGUAUGACUCUCUUAAGGUAGCCAAAUGUCUCAUUAUAUAAUUAGUGACGCACAUGAAUGGAUUUACGAGAUUCCCUCUAUCCCUGUGUACUAUCCAGAAAAACCACAGCCAAGGGAACGGUAUUGGUAGAAUCAGCGGGGAAAGAAGACCCUGCUGAGCUUGACUCUAGUCCGGCUUUGUGAAAUGACUUGAUAGGUGUAAUAUAAGUGGGAUUCAAAAGGAAAAAGUGAAAUAACGCUACUUUUAACGUUAUUUUACUUAUUCCUUAAAUCAGAAGCAGGGUACUGCCCCUCUUUUUGAACCCAAGGUUCGCUCUGCGGGUUGAUUCAGGUGAAAGACAUUGUCAGGUGGGGAGUUUGGCUAGGUAAAAGGUUAUCUGAUUCUGAUUUCCAGUACGAUUACGAAUCGUGAAAGCAUUGCCUAAUGAUCCUUCAGAACUUUGGAAUUCGAACCAUCGUGAGAUACGUUAGUUUUACCCAACUGAUGAUAGUGUCAUAAUAGUAAUUCAACCUAGUAUGAAAAAAACCAUUGAUUCACUCAAUUGGUCAUCGCCCUUGGUUGAAAAGCCAGUGGCACGAAUCUACCGUGUGUUGGAUUAUGAUUGAAUGCCUCUAAGUGAGAAUCUUGGCUAGAAGCGAUGUAUGUGCCCGCCAUCCACUUGUCGACCCGUAGUAGGGGUUUUGGCCUGCAAGGGCAUAUGUCAUUGGAUAAGCCAUUACGGUGAAAAGGUCGCGGUGGCCGCCUUGAAGUAUAAUUUCCAUUGAUUAGUGGGUAGAAUCCUUUCCAGAUGACUUAAAUACGUGACAGGGUAUUGUAAGUGGCAGAGUGGCCUUGCUGCCACGAUCCACUAAGAUUCAGCCAUUUGUCGCUCUAGUUCAU
rfam:Capsicum annuum cultivar Zunla-1 chromosome 2, whole genome shotgun sequence